GACAGAGGGUGCAAACGUUGUUCGGAAUUACUGGGCGUAAAGCGCGUGUAGGCGGCUUAGCAAGUCGGGUGUGAAAUCCCUCAGCUCAACUGAGGAAGUGCGCCCGAAACUGCUGAGCUUGAGUGCCGGAGAGGAUGGCGGAAUUCCCCAAGUAGAGGUGAAAUUCGUAGAUAUGGGGAGGAACACCGGUGGCGAAGGCGACCAUCUGGACGGUAACUGACGCUGAGACGCGAAAGCGUGGGUAGCAAACAGG
rnacentral:rRNA from 1 species